UAGCAUAUCAAUAAGCGGAGGAAAAGAAACCAACAGGGAUUGCCCUAGUAACGGCGAGUGAAGCGGCAACAGCUCAAAUUUGAAAUCUGGCCUCGGCCCGAGUUGUAAUUUGCAGAGGAUGCUUCUGGCGCGGUGCCUUCCGAGUUCCCUGGAACGGGACGCCACAGAGGGUGAGAGCCCCGUAUGGUCGGACACCAAGCCUGUGUGAAGCUCCUUCGACGAGUCGAGUAGUUUGGGAAUGCUGCUCUAAAUGGGAGGUAAAUCUCUUCUAAAGCUAAAUACCGGCCAGAGACCGAUAGCGCACAAGUAGAGUGAUCGAAAGAUGAAAAGCACCUUGAAAAGGGGGUUAAAUAGUACGUGAAAUUGUUGAAAGGGAAGCACUUGUGACCAGACUUGGGCCGGGCGGCUCAUCAGGGGUUCUCCCCUGUGCACUCCGCCCGGCACAGGCCAGCAUCGGUCUUCGCGGGGGGACAAGACCGCCGGGAACGUAGCACCCUCCGGGGUGUGUUAUAGCCCGGCGGACGAUACCCCCGCGGGGACCGAGGUCCGCGCUCCGCAAGGAUGCUGGCGUAAUGGUCACCAGUGACCCGUCUUGAAACACGGACCAAGGAGUCGUCCAUUAGAGCGAGCGUUUGGGUGUAAAACCCGCACGCGUAAUGAAAGUGAACGCAGGUGAGAGCUUCGGCGCAUCAUCGACCGAUCCUGAUGUUCUCGGAAGGAUUUGAGUAAGAGUUUUAACGGACGGACCCGAAAGACAGUGAACUAUGCUUGUAUAGGGUGAAGCCAGAGGAAACUCUGGUGGAGGCUCGCAGCGGUUCUGACGUGCAAAUCGAUCGUCAAAUAUGAGCAUGGGGGCGAAAGACUAAUCGAACUGUCUAGUAGCUGGUUACCGC
rnacentral:rRNA from 1 species